rnacentral:rRNA from 1 species
UGGGGAAUAUUGCACAAUGGGUGCAAGCCUGAUGCAGCCAUGCCGCGUGUAUGAAGAAGGCCUUCGGGUUGUAAAGUACUUUCAGCGGGGAGGAAGGCGAUAAGGUUAAUAACCUUGUCGAUUGACGUUACCCGCAGAAGAAGCACCGGCUAACUCCGUGCCAGCAGCCGCGGUAAUACGGAGGGUGCAAGCGUUAAUCGGAACUACUGGGCGUAAAGCGCACGCAGGCGGUCUGUCAAGUCGGAUGUGAAAUCCCCGGGCUCAACCUGGGAACUGCAUUCGAAACUGGCAGGCUAGAGUCUUGUAGAGGGGGGUAGAAUUCCAGGUGUAGCGGUGAAAUGCGUAGAGAUCUGGAGGAAUACCGGUGGCGAAGGCGGCCCCCUGGACAAAGACUGACGCUCAGGUGCGAAAGCGUGGGGAGCAAACA